rnacentral:rRNA from 1 species
GACGAACCGUCCAAACGUUAUUCGGAAUCACUGGGCUUACAGAGUUCGUAGGCGGUCUGGAAAGUUGGGUGUGAAAUCCCUCGGCUCAACCGAGGAACUGCGCCCAAAACUACCGUGCUCGAGGAAGAUAGAGGUGAGCGGAACUUACGGUGGAGCGGUGAAAUGCGUUGAUAUCGUAAGGAACACCCGUGGUGAAAGCGGCUCACUGGGUCUUUUCUGACGCUGAUGCACGAAAGCUAGGGGAGCAAACGGG